GGGCCCGUAGCUUAGCCAGGUAGAGCGCCCUGGGGCGAACCGGGAGGUCCCGGGUUCGAAUCCCGGCGGGCCCACCA
rnacentral:tRNA from 1 species